UAGAAGCCUGACAGCAGGGGUGUCCAAACCUUUUGUUUGAGGGCCACGUUCAAUAAAAUGCAAGGAUGCAAAGGCCACUUUUGAAGUC